CCUACGGGAGGCAGCAGUGGGGGAUAUUGCACAAUGGGGGAAACCCUGAUGCAGCGACGCCGCGUGUGGGAAGACGGUCCUCUGGAUUGUAAACCACUGUCCCCAGGGACGAAGAUGACGGUACCUGGGGAGGAAGCUCCGGCUAACUACGUGCCAGCAGCCGCGGUAAUACGUAGGGAGCGAGCGUUGUCCGGAAUUACUGGGUGUAAAGGGAGCGUAGGCGGGACUGCAAGUUGGGUGUCAAAUCUACCGGCUCAACCGGUAGCCGCACUCAAAACUGCAGUUCUUGAGUGAAGUAGAGGCAGGCGGAAUUCCUAGGGUAGCGGUGAAAGGCGUAGAUAUUAGGAGGAACACCAGUGGCGAAGGCGGCCUGCUGGGCUUUUACUGACGCUGAGGCUCGAAAGUGUGGGGAGCAAACAGGAGUAGAUACCCUAGUAGGC
rnacentral:rRNA from 1 species